rnacentral:lncRNA from 1 species
UGCAUGUAUGGAUCCACAUCUGUGUUUCAUCUUGUUCCAAUCAUUCUCAUUUUACUCCUCUUGCAAUAACCAAACACUUCUUUGCUUGAUUUCUGUUUGAACCAGCAAUGGCCGAAGCAAUUGCUUUCGACCUCGCCGUAGGGCUUAUUACUAAAUUGAGCUCCUUUACUCUCUCUCAAAUUGGACUGUGGUGGAAUCUCAAAGAUGACCUCGACGACCUCAAAAGCACCGUCUCUACAGUCAAAGCUUUGCUUCUUGACGCAGAAGAGCGAUCCGUGACCAGCCGACCCGUCAAGGAAUGGUUUAAAAGCCUGAAAGAUGUACUUUACGAUGCUGACGACUUGCUCAAUGAUUUCUCUACCGAAGCUUUGCGGAAAGAUAACAAGCUGACGAAAGAGGUACGCCUUUUCUUCUCGUGCUCAAACCAGUUUGAUUACGGUCUCAAAAUGGGUCGGAAAAUUAAGACCAUUAAGGCCAGGUUGAUUUCAAUUGGAAAUGAUGCCAAGGUGUUCAACUUGGUAGAGCGUCCCAUGGAAACCUCUUUCAUGACAAAAAAGAGGCAGCAAGAGCACUCUUUUGUGCCUAAAGAUAAAAUAAUAGGGAGGGACAAUGAUAAAGCAGCUCUUCUAAAGCUCGUGUUAGAGUUUGAAAGUGAUGAGACUGUUUACAUCAUUCCAAUUGUGGGGUUAGGAGGGUUAGGGAAGACUGCUUUGGCUCAGUUUGUCUAUAAUGAUGAAAUGGUCAAAAAUCAUUUUGAGUUGAUGAUGUGGGUGUGUGUUUCAGAUGUUUUUGAUGUUAAAAUAAUUGUAGAAAACAUGAUCAAAUCUGCAACAGGCAAAGCACCCGAUCAAAAUCUCGAAAUGGACCAAUUGCAAAAACAACUUCGGGAAAAAAUUGGUGGGAGAAAGUAUUUGCUUGUUUUGGAUGACAUUUGGAAUGAUGAGUGGGAAAAAUGGGUUAGAUUAAAAGAGUUAUUAGUAGGUGGGGCUAAAGGAAGUAGGAUAAUAGUAACUACUCGCUCUUCUAAGGUAGCCAAGAUCACUAGUAAAUGUCAGCCUUAUGUUCUGAACGGCUUGUCUGAUAAUGAUGCUUGGUCUUUGUUCAAAGAGAUAGCAUUUGAACAAGGAUCGGCAGACUCAACAGAUUCAGGCUUCGUGGAAAUAGGAAAGCUGAUUCUGGAAAGGUGUUGUGGGGUUCCCUUAGUCAUAAGGACGAUAGCUGGUACGUUAUCUUUCAAAGAAACUAAAAGUGAGUGGCUUUCUUUUAAAGAUAACGAACUUGCUAGAAUAUCUCAGAACGAAGGUGAGAUAUUACCUACACUUAAGUUGAGUUAUGAUCAUCUCCCGUCUCAUUUGAAGCAUUGUUUUGCUUAUUGUCGACUAUAUCCAAAAGAUCAUGAAAUUGAUGUACGAACACUUGUUCAAUUUUGGAUUGCACAAGGUUUUGUAAAGCAAUUGAAUCCAAGUCAAUCUCUUGAGGAGAUCGGAUUUGGAUAUUUUAAAGAUUUAGUUGAAAGAAGUUUCUUUCAAGAGGUAGUAGAAUAUGGAUUUUGGUUUAUGGGAUGUAAAAUGCAUGAUUUAAUGCAUGAUCUAGCUGAAUCAGUAGCAGGGAUGGAGAGUAGUAUUAUAGAUUCAAAUAACAUUGCGAGUGAUGUUGGUGAAAACUGUCGCCACAUAUCAAUUAAACCUUCAUUAAUUCCUUUGUUUAAGGGAAAGAAGUUGCGAACCUUGUUACAUUUUCACGACAAAAUGGAUCAAAAAUUGAGUGAUGAAAGUUGGGAUUUGAUAAUUGCAAAUUGUAGAUGCUUGCGUGUAUUGAAAUUGGAUGAUAUAGGUAUUCAAAAGAUUUCACCCUCCAUUUACAAGUUGAAACAUUUGAGGUACCUUGAUCUUUCUUAUAAUAGCGAUCUUAAGAUUCUCCCAAAGAGUAUUUGCAAGAUUCAGAAUUUGCUAUCGCUGAAACUUGACGAGUGUCCUAAGCUUAAAGAAUUGCCAAAGAAGAUUGAAAAAUUGGUGAAUCUUACCCAUCUUGCGUGUUAUUUUUGUGAUAGAUUAACUCAUAUGCCACGUGGAAUAGGGAAGCUGACUUCACUUGAGACGUUAAGCAUGUUUGUAGUGGAUAAAGAUGGGUCCCAUGGCGGUGCAGAUCUAAGUGAAUUGAGACUGCUUAACAACUUAAGGGGACGCCUAACAAUACGAAAUUUGGGAUCCGUAAAAAAUGCAAAAGAGAAGUUUAAGGCUGCUAAUUUGAAAGAGAAGCAACAUUUGAGAUCUUUGGAUUUAGAAUGGGGCGGUCGUAACCAUGAUGAUGAGAAGUCACUUGAAGACCUCCAGCCCCAUCCUAAUCUCAAGGAGCUAUGGAUUCGAGGAUGGAGGGCUGAUGCCAAGUUUCCGAGUUGGCUUCAUUUGCUCACAAGUCUCGUCAAAAUUAAAAUAAAUUAUGGUAAUUUCAAACGUCUCCCAUCCUUUGCUCAAUUUCCUUGUCUUCAACAUUUGGUAAUUCGUCAUUUAACUGAGCUGGAGUACAUGGAUAAUAAUAGCCCAAAAGGAAGUCAAGGAGAACCACAAUCAUUCUUCCCAUCGCUUAAGCAUCUUAACCUCGAGGAUUGCCCAAAUAUGAAGAGUUGGUGGAGGACGACAAAACCAAUCGAUGAUGAUUCCAACGAGGACGACACAACAGUUAUGGGAACAUCAACCAUGGCAUUUCCUUGUCUUUCCUCUUUAACAAUUUAAAAUUGCCCUUUGACUUUAAUGCCACUGUAUCCAUCACUCGGUGAAUGUCUAAUGUUGUGGAAUACCAGUUCAAGGCCGUUGAAGCAAACUAUCAAGAUGAACAUCAAUGCUAAGGCCCCAUCAACUUCAACCUCUUCUCUUCCACUCUCCAAAUUGAAAUCUUUCCAUGUACACAACAUUGAGGGGUUGGACACUCACACGCUAGAUGAGUGCCUGCAACAUCUCACCAGCCUCAAAAGAUUAACAAUAAGAGAUUGCAAGGAGGUUGAUUUAGAGGGCAUGCAAUGGGAACCCCUUAAGAAUCUCUCUCAUUUGGAGAUUGAUAAUAUUCCAAAGCUGGUGUCUCUCCCCAUUUGGCUUCAACAUCUAACAAAUCUGCAACGGCUUUAUCUCGUUAAUUUGCCCAAUUUAACAUCUCUUCCGGACGAGAUGCGUUGCCUAACCAGUUUGGAGUAUUUACAAAUACAAAGAAUUCCUCAGUUGGAGGAAAGAUGUCGGAAGGACAUUGGCGCUGAUUGGCAAAAGAUUGCUCACAUCCCCAAUAUUCGGUUGUAACAGGUUGGUGUGACUUUGUUAUUUAUUUAUUUUGAUGACCUUAUCUUUUUUUGAAGAAAAAUAAGAGUGGUAUAUUGAAUCUCCAAGUGAGGCGUCUGAUGCCAUUUUUCAUUGAAGUUGGAUACUGUUAAUUUCCUUGUUAAAAUCCCUUUAUUUUAAUCCUACUUUUUGCUUAUCAUCUUUCAUAAUAUUUUUGCUGAUUUGUGCAGUAAGGCAUUGGAGAAAGGCAUUAGUGAACUUCAAUCAUUUUAUAUGCAUAAAAAGAGGUGCUAAUUUAUCUAUUUGCUUUUUACUUUUAAAUCAUAAUUAUAACUUCACAAUUGCUUCUAAUAAUUUAAUUCUAAAAAAUCAUUGAUGUGGAGAGAGAGGCCCAUGAAGCCUUCAAAAUAGUUGUACUAUAUGCUCUGCUUUCUUCAUUUAAGCACUUACUAUCAUAUCUUUAUAUAUAUUUAUGUUUUCUCUUAAUAUACGCCAACUGAUUACUAUCUUAGAUAGUACCUGUGCUAUUGACAGGCUUUUGGAGGUAUUCAAAUUCAUAAUAUUCAUUGAUGCAGGGCACUCUUUUAGCUAUUUGGAAUUCCAGCGAAAUUUGUUAUUGAAGGUCCAAACAGGAAAAAAAAGGAAGAUGCUUCAAAAUAUUUGGUGGUGAGGUUGAAGUUGAUAAAACGUUUCAUUAUUUAUAUAUCAACAGCAUUAUACUAAACACACAUAUGUGCAAAUAUAAUGCUGAUAAUGGUGAGCACUUUAGUUUUGAGGUGUAAAUAAAUAAUGGAUUUGUAACAUAUUUCAUGUUGGCAUUUACAAUUUUCAGGUUCUUUGUUGCUUUUGGAAGAGUCGUUGUUCAAGCAUGACAAUUGCCAGACAUAUUGCAUUUGAAAAUUUAUUAUUCCACUUUAAAUGGAGCUUAUUCAGAGCUUGAUUCAUAGUAGGAAAACCAUCUGAGUAUCGAAUCUGAAUUUUCACUUGCAUAGCUAAAAUGAGUUGGGAGAGAAUUUACUUCAUUGUACAAAAGUGAGAUUGCAUCACGUGUUUGAGGGGUUAAGCUUAAAUCAUUUCUUUGUACUAUGAAGUUCAUAGCGGAUUCAUCUUUGGGCAAAACCCCGCAGAUGUAGGACGAGUUCCGAACUGCGUAAACAUCUUAAUUGUGUUCUUUAUUUUCCUUAUUGCAAAAUAUGUACCAACUCAAGAAAAAACACAUUUUUAAUGUUCCAAACAGUAUUCAAAUGCAGGGAUGCACAAUUGAUUAUGAGACCAUAAUUGUUUUCAACGGCAUUCCAAGGCUAUGUUCAAUUAUAAUGCUUGGAUUAGGAUCCUUCCAAAAGAUGUCGAUUUCCUGCCUGUAUAUACAUAUGACUUGUGUGUUGAUGCUUAUGUUGGCACACGUUAAAUUGCAAGUUGAAUAACACCUUGUAAUUUGUUCUUGUCGUUUAAACAAAACAUAAGGCUUUUCCUUUGGAAUCUCGAUGCGACGAGGUACUGCAAUCCUCAAAAGGAAGGAAGGACAUGGGCAAUGGCAGGGGUGUUUCUUGGUGAGCUAAGGAAAUCAAAGUCUCCUAGGAGGAUACUAGCCCAUCAAUUCCCUCUAUAUAGCAACAAUGAACCUGCAAACUAUAAAUAUCAAUAUACAGUAUGAUAAAAUUGAUCUCGUAUAGACCCAGCAGUGUCCAAAUGUAGAAGAAACACUUACUCUUACUAAAAACGUAACUCCAUAUUUUGUGCACAAAUGGUGGCCAAACACAAAUCCGUUGUAUAUGCUUUUUGAUUCCAAGUUUAAGAAAGGGCCAAACGUUGGGCAUCCUCAUCCUCAUCUGUAAUAGUAACAAAUUCACAUUCCUAUUAGUGUUUACGCCUCAAAACUCAAUUCCAACUUGAUCAAAUUUACUUUCAAAACAUAACUUGAUUCAAGAUAAAAAUAAACUUGGACUUCUUUACCUAGCAAAAGAUGAACAUGAUUUUCAAAAAUCCAAGGUUUUCGAAACCGGACCAAUAGAAAAACUGAUCAGGCCACCAAUUCAUCGGUUCAACAGGUGCAAUUAAAUAAAUCAUUAAAAAAUUCAUAAAAAAUAAAAACCUGAUUCAACUGCCAGGUUCAACCAGUUUUUCGCCCGAUACAAUCAUCCAUACCGGUUCCUAGGCCAAUCAAUUCAAUGCCCUUCUCCGAAACAGGAUCCUGGUCCGGUUCAAAUAACCUUGACUAAACCUAAAAAACUAUUUAAGUUCGGAUUUCAGUUGGUAUUCUCAAUAUUAGCUCAAAAAAGAAAAACCCUUAAUGUAGGCUUACAAACCACUCUAAGUCAGACAUUAAGGUAUUUAAAUUCGGCUUACUCAAUAGCCCAAGCUUGGCUAACCAAUAAUUAAACCGAAUUCCGCUAACAUUAGCAAAACCAAAACACGAAAAUCUCAACUGUAAAUAUGUUAGAGAUAAAUUUCAACCAAAAAGUGAAAAAACAUGAAGGAAGCAAUAGAAUUAGAAAAAUAACUGGAUUCAUAUAAUCAUAUGAUUAUUUAUAGAUGCCAUUGGUCACAACCUCAAAUAUACAAUGGACCGAUUUCGUACAAACAACAAGAUUGAUCCAAUGAUUAUCAUCACGAUGCACCAAUUCUACACAUCCACAUUUAGUAAGGCUGCUUUUUCAAUUUUGGUAUGUAAAACACUAAUGACUAAUUAAGCAACUCAGAUAAAGAAAAGGAUGUUGUUAAUGUGCAUAUAUAACCAGAUUAGAUAGACCAGAAUUCUGAUGCCGACACUUUUUAUUUCUAUAACUAAAACCAUGGGAUAGGAAAAAUAGCUCAACCCUGAAGAUUUGUUCUGCAGAAUUUUGUCAGGAAAAAUAAUCUUACCUAUCGAGUUGAUUUAAAAUCAGAAGAUGGCACUUCGGUCAUUCUAGAAGGUGGAGUUUCUGGCCUUGGUGUACGACCUCAGCCAUUCCAAAGUCUGAAUGAAGCAUAUCUACUCCGCUCCCUUCAACACCUGCCAUUCUAGGAGUUAAGGAUUACACAUUCACCUGUUGUACCUCUGAAUGUAUAAAUAAGUUUGUGUGCUUUUUUCCUGCCUUUGAGGGGUUAAGCAGAUAGAUUAGCUAAAAUUUAUAGAAGGAUACAAUCUGUCAUCCACAUAUCCAUAAUGCUAACAUCGGCAUCUAAUAGAAGCCAAUAAUCCGCAUCAUUCUGAAAACAAGGGCAAAAAAAGUUAAUAGACAAAAUUAUCAAUUUUGGUGCAAGAUGAAGUCGGGAGAAGGUGUUUGAAUCUUGGACCUUCCCCUCCUAAAGAUGGGUAACCAAGGCUUCUAAUGAAUUAUUCCAGAUUACCUAAAUUCAUAAAUAAUCUUUGACAUGAACCACUGUCCAAGUAUAUGAUGUUUGUAAAGCUUGGCUAGUGUAAUAGCUGGUCAAGAAAAAUGGCACUCACGUCAAUAACCGACAGAACAAUUCUCAUCAUUCCCCCAACAGACUAUUGUGAAGCAUUUAUAUCAGAGCAGAUCUGAUGAGUUUGCUGUGCCUGUGGUUCAAUCUCCUUUCAGAUGCUCACUGCAUUGACCAACUCAACUUGGUUUUCAUUAGAGCCAGAACUUGAAGCAAGUGGGACACUCAAGAGGUUGUUCAACACCAUUCAUCUCUUCAAAUUUCUCCUCAAAUUGGCUGAGGAAGCAACAAUGGAAAAGAAAGACAUUAAAACAACCUAUCUUCUUAUCAUCAAUUAAACUUAUUCCAAAGAACACCUGACUAGGUGAACAAAAAUCGGACCCAUUGUGCUUCUAAGGAAUAUCCCGUAUCUCCUUUGUCAGUAAUCAAAAUCCUGUAAUAUAUAGGAGCAAUGUGACAAUGCGUUUAAAUCAUGAAAGUGGAAAAUGGUAGUAACUCAUUAAAAUUCUCUAUGCCAUCUUACUUCAUCAGGAUCGGGUACUUCGAGAGUUGUUCCAUGUGGAGCUUUAAUUGCUAUCAGGCUUUCAUUCUGCCAAAACCAAGGUGUCUUGAAGAUUAGUAUCAAAUGCAGAAUAUCAUUGCAGAAGUGUUAAUUCAGAAGCAUGAAAUAAACGAACCUGAAAACAAGGUAUACCCUUGAUGUCCUCUUCAGUCACAAAAAGCAACCUGAAACAGUGUGAAGAUAUGUAAACGUAUAAUUUUUUUGCAAACAAUUAGCAGUUAAACUUCCAUUAAUUGGAUCACAGUGCAAGGCAGACAAGAAAAUCGUACUUCUGAUUGUUGUCAUUCUCACUCAAAUCCCUCAACCUUUCCUGCAUUUCUCUGCAAUAUUUUAGAAGCAUCAGCAUUCCUAAACAGGUUCAAGAUAGUAACAGUUGCUACUUUAACAUGAAAAUAAGCCAUGCACAACCUUAUUUGAUCAUCUAAUCUCCUCUCUUCCAUGGAAAGGUUCUCAAUUUCCUCCUGCAUUAAAGAAUAGAAAUUAAGCUCAUAGGUAUGAGAAAUAAGCAGCACAAAUCAAUCAAUCGGGAGUGAUUGAAAAUUCUCUUGAAAGUCAUUACCAAAAAUAAAGAAACAGAAAACAUCCUAAUGAACCGUAUCAAGAAAAUUUGUUGGCUGGAUGUCAAUGAAAUGAAAAUUGACAUUACUUUCACGUACCUGUAUUACAGAGACAUCGCCAUCUGUUUCUCCUGGCUUUGAAGCACCAACACCCCUAGUAAAUUUGAUUAAUCCUCAAAUAAGUCUCACAUUUUUCAAAGGUUAACCAGAAUGACAAACCAAAUUAAGACAUCAAAUUCUUGAAAAAUGAUUAACAUCAUCAGUACUUACUUCCACUGUAUUCUGUUUUUGAACUUCUUUUCGAUAAGACCAAUGCCCUCCAAGACAUUUGUUAUAUCAUAUAUCCUCCUCGUCUGCACCUGUUACAACAUUUACAGGGAAAAAUAAAAGACAAAAGAACCCUUUAAGUAACAUGAAAAAAAUACUCAACAAACACCCAAUGAUACAUAAACUCACUAGUAUGUGAUUACCUCCAAUGUUUCUGCAGCCUUAUUUAGGUCAAGGAUACCAUCUUCAGCAUGCUUCAUCAGAUUGACAAACUUUUUCGUCAACAGACCUAAAAAUGGUGACUGCGUUAUUGUCGUUCUCACCAUCCAUAGCAGGUUAAGGAGCUAAAAUAGACUAUGUUAAAAGAAAAAAGAAUGGGCAGUAAAGAUUACCUAAAGGACUAUCUAAACGGCAGCUGCCAGUAGGUGUAAGAGGAGAUGGACAACCUGCCAAUUAUCAUAUAUAAUGUCAGUGAUUCCUCUUCUACAAAAUCCAUCUAUCUUAAUUCGAGCAAUGAGGUAUUGAUGAUAGAGCCGUGGAGUGAAUCAUAAGUUUCCUUCUAUGGACUAAGCCAGUAGGAAAUAGUAUCGCACCAGCAUUUGACACAGGUGUGUGAGGCAUUGAUUUAUUGGCUUUUGAUGUCUUUGAUCUAUUAUUUAUCCUUGCUCCUUUAGCAUAUACAGGUGUCUGGAAAGGACCGUUGGAUAUGCUGGUAAUCCCCAGACUGCUUGUCCAUUCAUUCAAUUUCAACUUAGUACAGCAAACGAGCACUUUAAUCUACCAAAACUCCACAAUAUCAUCAAAUACAUCAUCAUAAACGGAAACACCUCACAUAUUAAAAAUACAUCACAAUUUCACUGCAGUAACAAAUAAUGCUACUCAUAAUUUAUCCCCUAAGAAACUUAGCCACCAUGAAAAGCUCUAUUUGUGAACAGAUCAAAAGAUCACACACACAAAAAAAAAGAAAAAAAAGAAAAGCAAAAGACAUUAAGCGUUAAGUGAGAGUACAAUUCUCAUCAAAAUUGAAAUAAUAUACUACUAAUUACAUGAUAGCCACCGAUUUCAACGGAGAAUUUUUGAACUCACUGGAGAUCUCACAACAAUUGCUUUAACUUCUUGAUCGGCGACGAUUCCACGACUAUUACUAGAUGAAAAUCUGUGAUAAUCAUCGAGAUGAACAAACGGCGGCUUCGUCGAAUCGAAGGCCAGGUGACGACGUAUCGGUGGAACAACCGGAGGAACCGUCGAAGCUGGUACUGCUGAAGCCGUAGGAGGAGGUUGAUACGGCAGUGUGAGACCAUCCCGGACAUGGAGGUUUAUGAUAUCGAGGGGAAAGGAGGUCGGUAUACUUGCAAUAGGGAAAUAGGAAGAGAGAGAGAGAGUGAGGGUUUUAGUUCAGACAUUAGAGAGAGAGUAGAAAAGGAGGGAAUCUUCUGUAUAUAAUUAUAAGUUAAUGUGCUAAUUUCAUUUGUUUUGACCUUUUUGAACCCUUACUUUUUUCAAUUUUUCAAAUUUCCAAUUUCAUCCUAAAAUAAAAUUCAAAUAUAUAUAUAUAAGGGUUAAAGUACCGAUACUAUAGGGACUGCAUACAAAUUAGUCCUACUACCAUUAAAUGGUUAAUUUAUUACCUGUACUAUUAAAAUUGAUCAAAUAAAGUCAAAUUAUAACAAAGUUAACAUUUAUUUUAUAAAAAACAUAUUGAAAUUUGUUAAUUCUAUUAAUGUUAAAUCUCUUACAAUUUAACCUUAUUUGGUUCUUUUUAGUAGUACUAGGAUAAAAUUAGUCCAUUUAAUACUAGAGGGACUAAUUUUAAACUUUUCAAAUAUUUUAACCCUUAUAUAAGCAAAAAUAUUAUUUUUAAAAUAUUAAUCAAUAGACUUGUCUAUAAUUUGGUUAGGGUACAAUUUUUUUAAAUUUUUUUCUUCACGCUGGCCAUAUUUCAUUGUUCUUUUAAUAUUAAAAGUUAACAAUUUAGUAAUAUUUAUAUAUUUUUAUAAUCGUAUUAAAUAAGUAAUUUAGUGAGUUUGAAUAUUGUAGUGGUGAGAUUAAAGUUAAUUGUAGAAUAUAUAUUUAAAUUCAAAUGCAUAUGUAGCAAUGAAAUAAAAUUAGAAAAUUACUAUUAAGAACACUAAGUUAAAAUGUAUGUAUAUGUAAAAUAAAUAAUUAAGAAUAUAUUUAAAAUAUAAUAUUUUAAAUAAUAAUUAAAAAUAUCAAAACUAUGAUUAUAAUACAAAAUUAAAAUUAUAUUUUAUAUUAAAUUAUAAAAUAUACAUAAGAAUUAUAUGUUUUAAUUUUUUUUUAUUAAAUUAGUAGUUAAAAUCACUAAAAAAUUUAUUUCAUUAUUAUUUACUUUCAAACUUUUAUGUUUGAAUUUGUUUAUUGUUGCACUAUUUUAAUUAUGUACCACAAUUUUAAAUAAUAUUAUUUUUGCAUUAAUUACAUAAAAUAAAAAUAUAUUAUUCAGUGAAUAAAAAAUAAAUAUAUAAAAUCACGUAUAAUAAUAUUCAAUGAAUAAUAUCAAACCCCUAGUACUUGAAAGUAGUUAUAGAGACCAAUCAUGGCAAAAGCCAAAAUUCCAAGCAUCUAAUUGUUAUUUUUCUCUUUAUUUUCCUUAUCAAAACACAACUAAUUUUCAAUAAUGUAACAAGGUGAAAGCCUAAUUCCAAGCAUUCAAACAAACUAUAACUAUAAGAGAAGAAACGUAGCCAAAAUUGUAAUUAAAAUUUUCAAAAAUUUUAAACAGCUUAAUGAGAAUUUCAAUAAAAGGGUCUAAUUAAAAUUUAUAAAACUAUUAAAGGGUUUAAAUAAAAUUUGAAAGAAAUUGAGGAGUCUAAUUAAAUUUUUUUAAAAAAAUUGAAGGCUUAAUGAAAAUUUUCCAAAUUUGGGAGCUUGGGGCAGGAGGAGCUUUCACUCUUGUUACGUUUUGUCCCGAGUAAAUUUUUUAAGAGAGAUCUAUUAAUUCAUUUAAUAAAUAAAUGAACAAUUCAAGAAAAAAAAUAACAAACACUUGUACGCCCUAAAGAACAAGCUCCAUCAAUAUAAUAAAAGCUUCAGCUUCAGCAUCAAUAGAACAUUAUGGCACGUUGACAAUCGACUCUGUCACAACUCAAGCACAACAUAUCAGAAGCGAUUGCAAGCACUUAAUACAAUAAGAAAAUCAACCCCAAAUGGUCCAAAGCGGCGAGCAUAAAUUGGCAAAAGAACCAAGCAUUCACCUAAUUAGAGAAGACAAUGACUAAACCAACCCUAAAAUUAUUUGCAAAAGCAAAACUAAAUGCAUAAUAAAGACUAAAAAGCAUACUAUAAGAGUAGACAAAACUUCUAAAAGUGAUACUUAUUAAACAAUAAAAAAUAAAUAAAUAACAUAUAAAACUUAAGAUAACACGAGUCAUGAAAUCAUUUAUUAUUUUGAAACUCUCAAAACAGAAACAUAUUAAGAAGUCAACGAAGAGCUACCUACUUUCUAAAAGAAACUAUCGGUGGUCGAUGGUAUUUCAAACGAUGAUAGGCACCAUCAUCUAUCCAUCACAACAUGUGAAGACAACAAAAAUACCCACAAAUAGAUCUGUAAACCGAAAAAGAGAGAAGAUGCAUGGAAUAAAUAAGAAGAAGAAAGAAAAAGAGGGUUUAUGGGUAGAAAAAAUAAGCGGGCUGUAGCCAACCCGUUCUGCCCCUGAGUAAUUUUUGAAACUAUAAAAAUCAUACCGAAUUAUAAUUAUAUGUUUGUGUAUUUAAAUCAAAUUAAAUUGCAAUAAAAAAACAAUUUAUCUAAGGUUAGAUUAAAAAAACAGUACUAACAAUUGGACCUGAAAUUUGAACUCUAAAAAGUAAAAUAAUUAAAUUCCUAUAAAUAUAAGUAUAGAGACUAAAUUUUAAAUUUAUAGUGAGUACAAAGACAUAUGGCAUAAUUUAACUUAAAAAAGGUAACCUACUUUAGUAGUCACCCAACUAAGUUUUUUUUUUUUUUUUGUCAUUCAAUUAUGAAAUGUUGCAAAAUAGUUGCCUAACGAUUCAAUUUUAUCAUUUUUAUCAUCAGUUGGCUAAUUAAAAAAUAGAAAACACCAAAAAUCUAAGAUAAUUGGGUGAAAAAAAAGGAAAAAAAUAAUAGUUUAUUGAAUAUUUUGUAACUUUUCAUAAUUAGUGUACAAGCCCAAAUUUACCCGAGGCCCAAUACCCAAUUGAAACCCAAACCUAAACCCCUACCCAUUACAACCAAACCAGGCCCAAAAUAAAAAUAAACCCUAGCCCAACAACCUAAAAAAAAAUUUCAGCCAAAAGGAAACCCUAAAGUGCCGCCGCACCCUAUGUCUGCCACCUCACCUGCCACGGCCACCAACUCUGCCCACCUGCCGCUUCUGUCAUCGUCCCAUCAUCCCACUUCCCUGCAAAGGAGAAAAUCACGCAAAGAGCAGUAGCAAACAGAGAAAAAGAAAAAAAAGACUAAAAUAGCAUGUAAAAUUGGCUAUAAAAGCCAAGUAUAAUAAUAUUUGAGAAAUAAAAAACAGAAAAAGAUUUCAAAGGAUUUUUUUUAGAUUCGCAUUUUUAUUUUCUGUCCAUUUUUUAUUUUUAUUUUUUUAAUUUUCAUACUAAAUAAUAAGUAUAAAAAAGGAAGAGAAAAAGAAACUCACCUGCGCCGGCCGAUCUACUCGCCGUCGACGGCCUCACCGGAAAAGGAGAAGAAACAAAAUGUUUCUUCGUUGCUCCGCCGGGUUUGGCCGGGUUUUCGGGGGUUUUGGCCUCGGAUCCUUGCUCUACGUGUAAAGGGCUUCGAAAUGGGUUAUUUUUGUUUUUCCGGCCACCAUGGACGGUGGCGCCGUUGUCGGCGACCGGAGCGGCGGCUGAUAACCGGACUCCUGGCCGGAUUUUUGGAAGGGGGAGAGGAUUUGAGGGAGUUUUCUAAGGUUUUUUUUUUAGGAAGAAAGAAAAUGAAAUUUUUUGAAAAAAAUUUGGUUUAAAUAGGGAAGCAAAACGGCGCCGUUUUGCUCAACCUUUUAAAGUGCCAAAACGGCGUCAUUUUGUGCCAUCCGACCCGACCCGACCCGCUCCAGGCCAGGAUCCACUUGUUUUUUUAGCGGAAGGGCUAAUUGCGCUUUCUGCCCUUCCGCUUUUCAAUGAUUUUGCAAUCAAGUUCUUUUUAGUUCUUAAUUUAGCCCUGAAAUUUCUUUCAGAUUUCAAUUCGAUCCACCUGGAAGCUAUGCGUUUUGGAGGGACGAGAUUAUUGCCCAUUUGGUCCCUCCUUGUUAUUCGCGCAUUCAACGUAGUCCUUCCCCUUUAAUUUAUUUGUGAUUUAACCCUGAAUUUUAUCUUUUAAAUUCAAUUUAGCCCACUGUUUGUUUUUUGGUUAUUUUAUUAUUAAAACUAAUAAAUUAUUAUUAUUAAUAUUAUUAUUAGUGUUAUUAAUAUUAUUAUUAAUAUUAUUGUUAUUAUCAUCAUAUUUAUGUUUAUACUUACUAUGUAAAUUUUAAAUAUAUGUAUCUUAUUAUAUUAUUAUUAUAUAAUUGCUUCUAUAUAUAUAUACACAUAUAUACAUAUUUAAUAUUUACAUACAUAUAUACGUUUAUAUUUUUUAUAUAUUUUAUCAUUUAUAUAUAUGUAUGUAUUUAUAUGCGCAUUUUAAAUUUUUAUAUAUAUACAUACUUAUAUUUUUUUUAUACUUGUAGAAUAAUGAAAGAAAACUUCUCAAGUAUAUUGGAUACUAACGUAUUGUUAUAUACAAGCAGGGAAAGGAAGUAACAGAAAGUAACAGAAAAAUAACUACUAACUGACUAACAAGAAAUUAAUUUAAAACUAUAUGACUAAUAGCCCACCUCAAGCUGGAGAAUGAAUGGGAAACAGUCCUAGCUUGGACAAAAUAAGCUGGAAGGGAACAGCAGCCAGAGCUUUGGUGAAGAUGUCAGCAAGCUGGUCUUUGGAAGAACAAGGAAGCAAUUUGACAACACCAGUCAACAUUUUUUCACGAACAAGGUGACAGUCGAUCUCAAUAUGUUUAGUACGUUCAUGAAACGUAGGGUUUGCAGCAAUUUGGAGAGCAGGAUUGUUGUCGCAAAACAAAGCAGUAGGCCCAGAAAUAGUCAUAUGCAAAUCAGACAGAAGAAAUCGAAGCCACUGAAUUUCACAAAUAAUAGAUGCAAGAGCCCUAUAUUCUACUUCUGAGGAAGAGCGAGACACGGUGCUUUGCUUCUUGGCUUUCCAACUAACAAAGGAAUCUCCAUAAAAUAGGUAGUAACCAGUCACAGAGCGACGUGUGAGAGGACAACCAGCCCAAUCAGAGUCACUAAAUGCCUUCAGUGUAGGCGAGGAAGAAGCAGAAAAGAAAAGACCAAAGUCAAUGCAUCCUUUCAGGUAGCGAAGAAUGUGAUGGGCAGCUUGAAGGUGAGUGACUGUAGGUCGGUCCAAGAAUUGACUUAACUGUUGAACAGCAAAAGCAAGGUCAGGUCUAGUAGAAACCAAAUACAAUAGGCGUCUAAUAAGUUUUCUGAAAAUAGUGUUAUCAGGAAGCAAUUCGUCAGAAGCAUCGCGAGGGAUUUUGGUAACCAUAGGAGUUGUAACAGGCCUACAAUCUGAGAAACCAAAAUCAGCCAGUAGAUCGAGAGCAUAUUUUUGCUGACAAAGAUGAAUACCAGCAGAACUACGAGCAACUUCAAGGCCAAGAAAAUACUUGAGAUCCCCUAAGUCUUUGAUGCUAAAGGUAGAAUGCAAGAAGGCUUUUACCCGUGUGAUUUCUUCCAAAAAAUCACCAGCUAGAAUAACAUCAUCAACAUAAACCAAUAAGGCAGUAAAGGAGAUUUCAUCCUUUUUAACAAAUAGAGAAAAAUCUGAAAUAGAUUGAACGUAACCAAUUGAAGUGAGAGCUGCAGUGAGAUUGGCAAACCACUAUCGACUAGCCUGCUUGAGACCAUAUAAUGAUUUUUGCAACUUGCAAACCUUAUGGGAAGUGGAGGAAGCAAAACCAGAAGGAAAAAGCAUGUAAACCUCUUCAGUCAAAUCUCCAUGCAAAAAUGCAUUGUUAACAUCAAGCUGGUGCAAAAACCAGUCUUUGGAAGCAGCAAUAGCAAGCAAUAAUCGAACAAUAGUAAUCUUGGCCAUAGGGGAAAAAGUAUCAAAAUAAUCAACACCCUCAGUUUGUGUGAAUCCUUUAGCAACCAAACGAGCCUUGUAACGCUCAAUAGAACCAUCGGCUCGAUAUUUCACACGAUAGACCCAUUUGCAACCGAUUGCAAUUUUGCCUGGAGGUAAGUCCAUAAUGAUCCAGGUGUUAUUUUGUUCAAGAACAGAAAUUUCAGCUUGCAUUGCUUCUUGCCAAUGGGGAAUUUUGCUAGCUUGUAAAUAGGUUGUAGGUAUGAGAGAAGCAUUGAUAGCAAGAGUAACAGGUGUGGCGCAUCGAAGAUGAUUGGCAACAGCUUUGCUAGAAAAACAGUGAUAUUGGUCUAAAUAUGAAGGAGGUUUCCUAAUACGAGGUGGCCUAGAAGGUUGUAAAGGAACGGGAGGUGAGGGUUGUGAUUGAAUUGGCAAGUCAUAGGUAAUGGUGGAGUCAAAGGUUAACUGUGGGAUGGAAGAGGAAGAAGAUGGUUGUUGAGAAAAAGGGAAAACGGACUCAUGGAAAUGGACAUUUCUGGAUAUGAAAAUGGCAUGGGUUGAUAGGUCAAAAAGAAUAUAGCCUUUGACAUGAGGUGGAAAACCAAGAAAGACACACUCACGUGCUCGAGGAUCCAACUUAUGACGAUGAGCAGUAAAAGUAGUUGCAAAACAAAGACAGCCAAAGACACGGAGGUGCUGAAAAGAUGGCUUAGUUUGGUAUAAUUUGUCAAAAGGGGUAAGGUUAGCCAAAAUGGGAGUAGAGGUAUGAUUAAUAAGAAAAACAGCAUGAAGAAUAGCAUGUCCCCAAAAAUGCUUAGGCAAAUGAGAAUGAAAUAAGAGAGCCCGUGCAAGAUUAAGAAUGUGUUGGUGCUUGCGUUCUACAAGACCGUUUUGUUGUGGGGUUUCAACACAUGUAGUUUGAUGAAUUGUGCCUUUGGAAGCAUAAAAGGCUGGAAUGGCAAACUCACAACCAUUGUCAGAUCGAAUGACUUUAAUUUUGGAUGAGAACUGAGUUUCAACAAGUGUGAAAAAAUUCUGAAUGUGAGUACGAACUUCAGAUUUUGCUUUCAAUAAAAUAAUCCAAGUAAAGCGACUAAAAUCAUCAACAAUGGUUAAAAAAUAACGAUGACCAGUAAUGGAAAUAACAUCAGUUGGACCCCAAAUAUCAACAUGAACAAGUUCAAAAAUUUUAUUGGAAACGGAAGUGCUUACAAGAAAAGAUAAUUUCUUUUGUUUGGCCAAAUGGCAGGCUUUACAAGGUGCAUUAUUUGACAAAAACAAAGAAGGAAUGUAAGGGAAAAGUAGUUUUAGUCGAGAAUCGGAAAGAUGACCGAGACGAUGAUGCCAAAUGGAACAGGAAGAUGUGUUGGCUGACAAGGCAAUGGGAGCAGAAAUGGAAAAAGUUUGAGCUGUGGAGUCCAAAAUAUAAAGACCAUGGAGCACUCUAGCUGUACCAAUCAUCUUCGAAGAAGGAAGAGCCUGUAUAGAACAAUGAGUUUUAUGAAAGGUAAAGGAAUAAGGUAAUAUAGGAGUGAGUUUAGUGACAGAUAAAAGAUUAAAGGUAAAUUGAGGAACAUAGAGAACAUUAGUAAUGUAAAGACUAUUAUUGAAAAUGACUGUACCAGAAAUUCGAGCACAAACUUUAGUGCCAUUUGGAAGGUUGAUGUAUAUAGGUUUAAUGGAAUGAAAAGAAGCAAAAAACGAUAAAGAGUGAGCAAUAUGAUCAGUGGCACCUGUGUCAAUAAUCCAAUGAUGGGAUUGAAGAGAAAAGAGGUUACCUGAGGAUGGGGAAGGGUUCGGUUGUGAGGAAGAAGCAGUAUUGGUAACAUAAGGUGAGGAGGUAGAUGCUGGAAGUAAUGCAAGUAGCUGUUGCAACUGAUCUUGUGUCAAAGUAACAGAAGGAUCAGAUGGCAAAAUAUCAACAUGCUGCGAAGAGUCCAAAGGUUGUGCAACACAAUCAUUAAGGGCUGUGUGUGCACGAGAGGCCCGACCUCGAGACUUAUAACCAGGUGGAUAUCCAUGCUUUUCAUAACAAGUAUCAACAGUAUGCCUGGAUUUGCCACAGAAGGUACAUUACCGUGAAUCAGUAGAUGAUUUUGCCUGAGGUUUCUUUGAAGUGUGGUGGCGCAGUGUGUUGCUAACAAACAACUAAGAUAAGCCAGUAGAAAGGUGACGUUCUUGUUGAAUAACCAGGGAAAACACUUUGUUGAUUGGAGGCAAGGGAUCGAUAAGCAUGAUUUGAGAACGAACAGCAGCAAACCGAUCAUGGAGACCCUUAAGAAAACGAAUAACGUAGUCGUUAUCAUGAUAUUUCUGGAGAGUGACAAAAACACCGCAAGAGCAAGAUGGUGAACAAGAACAAACUGGAAUUGGUCGAAAAUUCAUCAACUCAUCCCAGAGAAUUUUUAACUCAGUAAAGUAAUCAGUAACGGAACGAUCAUCUUGCUUGAAAGCAUUGAUCUCUUCUUGGAGAGCAGAAAUGCGGAAAACAUUACCUUGAGAAAAGCGUUCACGAAGAUCGCACCAAACAUCAUAAGCAAAGUCGAGCCAAAGAACACUGUUCAUGAUCGAGGGCGAGAUGGAAUGGUGCAACCAAGAAAGCACCAUAGUGUUACAUCGUUCCCAUGCAGAAUAAAGAGGAUCCGUUCGAGGUGGAACCGUGAUGGUGCCGUCAACAAACUGGAGCUUGUUGUUGGAUAGAAAUGCCAUUGUCAUAGCUCGAGACCAAAAGUGAUAGUUUGAGCUUCAUAAGAUAGGAGAAACAAGAACCAAAGUUGGGUUUUCAUUUGGAUGCAGAUAGUAUAGGCUAGAAGGCAGCAUAGUAUCAUGAAAUGCCAUUGGAAGAAAAGGGAAUCAAGAAUGCAGAUUAUGGAGAAAGCAAAAAAAUAACGUCUGAUACCAUGUAGAAUAAUGAAAGAGAACUUCUCAAGUAUAUUGGAUACUAACGUAUUGUUAUAUACAAGCAGGGAAAGGAAGUAACAGAAAAAUAACUACUAACUGACUAACAAGAAAUUAAUUUAAAACUAUAUGACUAAUAAUACUUUAUAAUUUUCAUAUACAUAUUUUUUAUUUUCAUAUAAUUUAUAUACAUACCUACAUAUUUUUAGAUAUAUACAUACUUACGUUUUUUUUUUCUUUUUUUUGCUUUAUAAUUUAUAUAUAUAUGUAUAUACAUUCACACAUUUUAUAAUUUAUAACUUAAAUAUAUUGAUAUACUCUUCGUAUUGUUAUUGUUGUUCUAUUGGAUAUUUAUUUAUUCAUUUAUUUAUGUGUUCGUCAUUAUUUUUAGGAAAUACUUUAGUUCCCUUUUUAUUUACUUGUUAUUUCAUAUAUACUUAAUUUGUUUUUUAUGUAUUUUAUUUUUUUGAUUGUUGCUCAUAUUAGUUAUGCAUGUAUUAUCAUGUUCAUUAUCAUUUUGCUAUACAUAUUAAUAUUGUGUUUAUUCCUACCAUUUUAUGUUAAAUUAAUUUUAUUUAAUGUAAAUCAUGGCUUUAAAAUAAGCAUAAUUUCGUAUUCUGAGAUUCGAAAAGAUUGUGCCCUAACUUACGGGGUUUCGACUUUCUCGACAAAUUCAAACGUACGAAUCCUUUCAAACUUAAAUUUUUUAAACAAUCCCGAAAAUUAUUAAAAGAUCGUAUUCUAACUUGCGGGACAUGAUUUCUUUUCUAAACCCUAGAUAAUCAAAUAUCUUUCAAAAUAAAUAAUUUAUUUUUUGGGCAUUUAUUCAUGUAUCGAGAAUUCAAGACAUUGUAUCCCAACUUACAGUACUAUAUAAUUCUCUUUCUCGAUUAGCAUUUCAACAAAGGAUCAUGAUUUGAAUCUUUUUCAAAUUUUCAAUCUUCGACAUUAGGACACUAAUUAAUCAACGAGGGUGCUAAUCCUUCCUCGUACGUAACCGACUCUCGAACCUGUUUUCUAAUUUUCGUGGACCAAAAUCGUUGUUUUGAUAAAACCAAAUUGUUUAUUAAAACAAUCAUUUUUCGAGGUGGCCCGAUCACACCUCAUCAAAAAAGAUUGGUGGCGACUCCCAUUUUCGUUUUUAUUUUUCAAAACCCAAGUCGACCCCGUUUUCACAAAAAAAAUAGUGUCAACAAUUAGGUAAAAAAUACUAAUAAUUUAGUAAUUAUUUUGUAAUUUUUUAAAUAAUUGAAUGACUUAACGACGUGAAAUAGAAAACGAGAAAACAAAUUUAAAACAAAAAUAAACAAAAACGAUGUACUUAACUGUUAUUUCCUUCUUCUCCAACAAAAACCCCGUCGUUUUAAUCCCUAAACCUAAUGUGAGCCAGACACCUUACAUCAAUAUGAUUCCUCCCAGUUACUACAUGGGACCAUUCAGAAAUUUGUGUCAAGCAACGUUAAACAUGGUGGGACCAUUUCCAACCAAACAACAUUGUUUUCAUUUAAUAAUAAAUGUGUUAUUUGUAUUAAAUAUUCUCAAUUUAUUAUUUAAUUUUAAAAAAAAUUAAUUUAUAAAUUCUAAAAUAUUUUAAUUAAAUUUUGAAAGUAUUAAUAUUAUAUCAAUAAAAUUAUUUCAUUUUUAUAGUUAUCAAUUUAGGUUUUUAAAUUUCACUUCAGAUUUAACAUGAAUUAAAUUGUAAAUACUUGCGUACUCAUCAUAUUGAUAACUUGAUUCUAACAUAUUAAAAACACGAUGAGAUUAUAAAAUUUAAGAGGAUUAUUUUUUUAACACAUUAGAUUCAAGUUGUCCAUAUAACAUGUACACACGUGUUUUAAGUAUGUCUCCUAUCAUAUUUGAGCGAACAUUUAAUGCUCAAGCUAACGGCUAAGUUAAUAGAAAAAUGGGAUAAAUUUCAAAACUAUAUAUAAACUUUGGCAUAAUAUGUAAUUUUAUACAUGAAAUUUCAAUUUAAUUCAAUUUUCACAAAUUAUUAACACAAUUAUUAAUAUAGCAUCAUUUUAUGUUUAUAUAUUGCAUAAACAAAUAAUUAAAUUUAUCCACGACAAAAAUAAAUUGAUGUAUCUAUUUCUUUAAAUAUGUAUGGUUGAGUCAAAAUAAAAAUUUAUGUAUAAUUUUAAAAUUUAUCUCUAGAAAAAUUAAAUUGGUAUAAUUAUGAUAUCUUAAAGAAUUCAAUUAAAAUGUUAUUUGGGUUAUAAUCUGCGAAUGUAUAGUGCAAGCAAUCAUUUUAUAUGUUUUAAUUUUAUUUAUCAUCUUAUUUUAAAGGAAAAUUAUUUCAUUCAAUACUGAUAAAGUUUAAAAAUUAAACAAAUAGAGUUAAAUGGGCAACACAUACCUCUUUAAAGUGAAGUAAAAUAAAAUUUUAAUGGGUCACUAUGAUCAUUGGAUCAUGUUGAUGGAGAACUUCUUGCAGGCAUGUGUGAGGCCGUGUAGGCUACACGGGCUGGCUAAUUGGGCUAUGUGGACCCUUUUUUGGAAAAAAUUCACCUAGGUCCGUAUGACUCUAAAAUUUGUAAUUAGACUUUCCUUAGAGCCAUACUACUUCAUUAAGGCUUGGAAACAAUGUAUUUGUUAAUAUGCUUCUGUGUAUGAUGUGUUUAAGGUAUGUGGAAUAUAUUUGCAUGAUCUGAUACUGAUAGUUCUCAUGGUGUGUUCUGAUUCGGUAUGUCUGUAAAUGUGUGUAUGAUGUGUGAUUUUGUUAAUUUGUAUUUCUAAAUCGGCCAUAUGACCAUGCAUGUGACAUUGUGGCUUUUCUGUUAAGGUGAUUUGUAAUUAUGAUAUAUCUAUAUACAAAGCAUGAAAUCACAUGCUUACUGAUUUUUGUUAAGAAUAUGAAUGCAUGUUCGACAUGCUUAUCAUUCUGUUUCAGUUUAUGCAUGCCACGUCACAUUGCAUGGGGUUUGGAUAUUAUGGUAUGGAGAAAGUUUCAGCAGUUUAAUCAUCUACAUUAUCUGGUGAUUUAUUCACAUUUCUCUCUACAUUUAUGGUGGCUCGACCACACACAUGUUAUUUUGACAGCUUGGCUACAAUAUAGUGGCUUGUCCACAUAUAUUCGAUUUGAUAGUUUUAACUUCAAUCUCUGGUGGCAUUGACCAGAAUAAGUAUGUUGGUGUGAUUGGAUGGACGAGUUCUGGGGAACUCUAUUUGGUGUGUAUUGGACUUGGGUAGGAUAUUUUCUAUAUAAAAAAAAACCAGCAUUACUUUUUUUGGAUAAAUAAGCACACAUUCUUAGUUUUGCUCAAAUCAUCGUUAUGAAAGUCUCUGUGAUUCUGUGAAUUGUUGGCUGUGUUAUUUGAGUUCUAGGUUUGAGUUUGUUACACACUGAGCUUUAUAGCUCACCCAUUUGUUUAAUCUCUGACUUUUAUGGUAAUCUUUGAGUUUAGGAUCGGACGGCGCGGGAGCUCAAAUUGUUUUCUCGAUUAAAUAAUUUUGGGUUGUGAUACUUUGUCAAUUAAGUAAUUCUUGACAGCCUAAAAGAUAAUUUUUUAGUGGACUUAUUCUUUGAAAUACGGGUGAAAUAAUUAUCUCAACUUGGUAAACAAUUUUGGUUUUCAUUUUACUUUUUGGUUGUAUUGGAAGCUGUUUCAAGGUUUUGUUCAAUCAAUGGUUGUAAUCCUUCUUCGAACGAGAGAGAAUUUGAAACAGAUUGAAGUGUAGACUUGACUUAUUUUAAUUUAAGCAAGCAGUAUGAUAAUUUUUAGGUGUUUGGGGUUUUUCAUUUCUCUUGGGGCAUGGUUUUGAGGAUGAAAGAUGAUUUUUUAAAGAGAGGUUAUGCUUUACGAUUUGACAUGGGUUUCAUAUACUUUGUUAUUAUUUUUAUGAUUUGUUAUUUUAUUUUAGUUGUCAUGUAUUUCGUUUAGGUGAGGUUUAAUUUAAGGUGUUUUGGGUAUGAGUAAUAUGUUCUAUUAAUUGUAAUAUCGUUACCUCAUUAGGAGUUUCGUAUGUAUGUAAACAAUAAAUUAAAAAUCAAAAUUUUUCUAACGAAGUAGUCAUGUCUUAUUAAUUGUUUAACUUAGGUGUAUUACUUUAUUUUGAAAAAUUAACUGAAAAUAUUAAUGUUAAUAAUAAACAAAAUGCGACCACUGUUAAUAAUAUAUAUUAACGCACUAACAAAUUCAAUAAAAAAAUUUAACAGUACUAACAAUUGGACCUGAAAUUUGAACUCUAAAAAGUAAAAGAAUUAAAUUCCUAUAACUAUAAGUAUAGAGACUAAAUUUCAAAUUUAUAGUGAGUACAAAGACAUAUGGCAUAUAACCUAAAAAAGGGUAACCUACUUUAGUAGUCACCCAACUAAGUUUUUUUUUUUGGUCAUUCAAUUAUGAAAAGUUACAAAAUAGUUGCCCAACGAUUCAAUUUUAUCAUUUUUAUCAUCAGUUGGCUAAUGAAAAAAUAGAAAACACCAAAAAUCUAAGAUAAUUGGGUGAAAAAAAAGGAAAAAAUAAUAGUUUAUUGAAUAUUUUGUAACUUUUUAUAAUUAGAUAAAAAAAUACUAAUAAUUUAGUGAUUAUUUUGUAACUUUUUAAAUAGUUAAAUAACUUAACGACGUCAAAUAGAAAAUGAGAAAACAAAUUUAAAACAAAGAUAAACAAAAACGAUGUACUUAACGACAUUAUUUCCCUUUUCUCCAACCGAAACGCCGUCGCUUUGAUCCCCAAACCUAAUAUAAGCACACCUUACAUCAAUAUGAUACCUCCCAAUUACUGCAUGGGACCAUUCAGAAAUUUGUGUCAAACAACGUUAAACAUGGUGGGACCAUUUCCAACCAAACAACAUUGUUUUCAUUUAAUAAUAAAUGUGUUAUUUGUAUUAAAUAUUCUCAAUUUAUUAUUUAAUUUUUUAAAAAAUUAACUUAUAAAUUCUAAAAUAUUUUAAUUAAGUUUUGAAAAUAUUAAUAUUAUAUCAAUAAAAUUAUUUCAUUUUUAUAGUUGUCAAUUUAGGUUUUUAAAUUUCACUUCAGAUUUGACAUGAAUUAAAUUAUAAAUACUUGCGUACUCAUCAUAUUGAUAACUUAAUUUUAACAUAUUUAAAACACGAUGAGAUUAUAAAAUUUAAGAGGAUUAUUUCCUUUUUUUUAACACAUUAGAUUCAAGUUGUCCAUAUAACAUGUACACACAUGUUUUAAGUAUGUCUCCUAUCAUAUUUGAGCAAACAUUUAAUGCUCAAGCUAACGGCUAAGUUAAUAGAAAAAUGGGAUAAAUUUCAAAACUAUAUAUAAACUUUGGCAUAAUAUGUAAUUUUAUACAUGAAAUUUCAAUUUAAUUCAAUUUUCACAAAUUAUUAACACAAUUAUUAAUAUAACAUCAUUUUAUGUUUAUAUAUUAUAUAAACAAAUAAUUAUAUUUAUCCACGACAAAAAUAAAUUGAUGUAUCUAUUUCUUUAAAUAUGUAUAGUUGAAUCAAAAUAAAAGUUUAUGUAUAAUUUUAAGAUUUAUCUAUAGAAAAAUCAAAUUGGUAUAAUUAUGAUAUCUUAAGAAUUCAAUUAGAAUGUUAUUUGGGUUAUAAUUUGCGAGUGUAUAGUGCAAGCAAUCAUUUUAUUUGUUUUAAUUUUAUUUAUCAUCUUAUUUUAAAGGAAAAUUAUUUCAUUCAAUACUUUCCUUGAAGAGUUUGCAGUAAGGGACUGCAAGGAGGUUGAUUUAGAGGGCAUGCAAUGGGAACCCCUUAAGAAUCUCUCUCAUUUGGAGAUUGAUAAUAUUCCAAAGCUGGUGUCUCUCCCCAUUUGGCUCCAACAUCUUGUUCAAUUGAAAACAUUAAAAAUUCAUAACUGCAAUGGAUUGAGGUCACUGCUUCCUGUGUUCCAACAUCUCACUUUCCUUGAAGAGUUUGAAGUAAAGGACUGCAAGGAGCUGGAGUUAUCUGGAGCUGGCAUCCAAAUAUUCCAAGAUCAUACAAGCCUACGCUCUCUAUGGCUGCAAAGUAUUCCAAAGUGUCGGCAUCUUCCGGAGUGGCUUCAACAUCUAACAAAUCUGCAACGGCUUUUUCUCGUUAAUUUGCCCAAUUUAACAUCUCUUCCGGAGUGGCUUCAACAUCUAACAAAUCUGCAAGGGCUUUAUCUCGGUUAUUUGCCCAAUUUAACAUCUCUUCCGGACGAGAUGCGUUGCCUAACCAAAUUGCAAAUUUUAGAAAUAGAAGGAAUUCCUCAGUUGGAGGAAACAUGUCGGAAGGACAUUGGCGCUGAUUGGCAAAAGAUUGCUCACAUCCCCAACAUUCGGUUGAUUCAGGUUGGUCCCUCUUUGUUAUUUAUUUAUUUUGAUGACCUUAUCUUUUUUUGAAGAAAAAUAAGAGUGGUAUAUUGAAUCUCCAAGUCAGGGGUCUGAUGCUAUUUUUCAUUGAAGUUGGAUACUGUUAAUUUCCUUGUUAAAAUCCCUUUGUUUUAAUCCUACUUUUUACUUAUCAUCUUUCAUAAUAUUUUUGCUGAUUUGUGCAGUAAGGCAUUGGAGAAAGGCAUUAGUCAACUUCAAUCAUUUUAUAUGCAUAAAAAAGAGGUGCUAAUUUACCUAUUUGCUUUUUACUUUAAAUCAUAAUAGUAACUUGACAAUUGCUUCUACUAAUUUAAUUCUAAAAAAUUAUUGAUGUGGAGAGAGAGGCCUAUGAAGCCUUCAAAAUGGUUGUACUAUAUGCUCUGCUUUCUUCAUUUAAGCACUUACCUAUCAUAUCUUUAUAUAUAUUUAUGUUUUCUCUUAAUAUAUGCCAACUGAUUACUACCUUAGAUGGUACCUGUGAUAUUGACAGGCUUUUGGAGGUAUUUAAAUUCAUAAUAUUCAUUGAUGCAGGGCACUCUUUUAGCUGUUUGGAGUUCCAGCUAAAUUUGUUAUUGAAGGUCCAAAUAGGAGAAAAAGGAAGAUGCUUCAGAAUAUUUGGUGGUGAGGUUGAAUUUGAUAAAAUGUUUCAUUAUUUAUAUAUCAAGAGUAUUAUACUAAACACAGAUAUGUGUAAAUAUAAGGCUGAUAAUAAUGGGAUUUGUAACAUAUUCUAUGUUGGCAUUUAUAAUUUUCAGGUUCAUUGAUGCUUUUGGAAGAGUCGUUGUUCAAGCAUGACAAUUGCCAGACAUAUUGCAUUUGAAAAUUCUUAUUCCUCUUUACAUGGAGCUUAUUAAGAGCUUGAUUCAUAGUAGGAAAACCAUUGGAUGUUGAAUGUGAAUUUUCACUUGCAUAGCUAAAAUGAGUUGGGAGAGAAUUUACUUAAUUGUACAAAAGUGAUGUUGCAUCAAGUGUUCAAAGGGUUAGGCUUAAAUCAUUUCUUUAUACUAUAAAGUUCAUAGAGGAUUCAUCCUUGGGCAAAGCACCGCAGACGUAGGACAAGUUCCGAACCGAGUAAACAUCUUAAUUGUACUCUUUAUUUUUCUUAUUGCAUAAUAUGUGCCAACUCAGGAAAAAACACAUUUAUGUUUUUUUAGACAGUAUUCCAAGGCUAUGUUCAAUUAUAAUGCUUGGAUUAGGACCGUUCCAAAAGAUGUCAAUUUCCUGGCUGUAUAUACAUAUGACUUGUGUGUUGAUGCUUAUGUUGGCACACGUUAAAUUACAAGUUGAAUAACAACUUGUAAUUUGUUCUUGUCGUUUAAACAAAACAUAAGGCUUUUCCUUUGGAAUCUCGAUGCGACGAGGUACUGCAAUCCUCGAAAGGAAGGAAGGACAUGGGCAAUGGCAGGGGUGUUUCUUGGUGAGCUAAGGAAAUCAAAGUCUCCUAGGAGGAUUCUAGCCCAUCAAUUCCCUCUAUAUUAGCAACAAUGAACCUGCAGACUAUAAAUAUCAAUAUAUAGACUGAGUAGUGUCCAAAUGUAGAAGAAACACUUGCUGUUACUAAAAACAUGACUCCAUAUUUUGUGCGCAAAUGGUGGCCAAACACAACAUCAUUUUUGUCUGCCGCGCUCUUCCUUUUUAAUUGCUGAGAAAAAUCAGCAAUAUUUCAAAGUACUGCCAAUGGCAGGCAAAAUUACAAGGUCCCUUAGUAUUUGUGCACGGUUAUAUCUACGUUAACAAUCAACUGAAUUGAAGAAAAUAAAAUAAAAAAGAGCAUAAGUUUAGCAAAUGCAUAUGUACGAGAGCUUGUACAAGAAAACUUACUGUUAACCAUAAGAACCAUCAGAAAUGCUUCGCUACUUGAUUCAAAAGUUAAUUCAGAAAGGCCAAAACUCAAAGAGAUAAAUGGCAUGACAAAAUCAAGUAAAGUAACUAGUAAUUCACUUGUUAUCGCGUUGAAGACAAUAAAGAAAAAGAAUAUAAUAUACGAAUAUAGUUUUGUCCGAUAAACUAGCAGAGCAGUCGUAUUAUACAUGAGGGGGAAACUAUAGUGAUAAACAUUAUGGAUAUCAACUGAAUCAUUUUUCAAACAUCCAUCAAAGACAAAACAUCAAAAGAACUAACAUCCAUCUGGCUUUCUUCAUAUAGAGCACGGCAUUAAAUGUUCAACUUUAAACCCAGAAUGGAGUAGCAUAACAUAACCUUCCUCUCUUACUGUCGAAACCGUUUUUUUUGAAAAUAAAAAUUUAGUUGUCGACUUUAAAAAUAAAACUGGAGUCGCCACCGAUCCUUUAUUAAGGUGUGAUCGGCCCACCUUAAAAAUAAUUUUGGUCUACGAAUUUUGAAAAAACGAGUUCGGAAGUCAGUUACGCACGAGGAAGGGUUAGCACCCUCGUGACGCCCAAAAUCGGUACCAAAUUGAUCAUUUAAUGUCUUUGUGUCGAAGGUUAAAAAGAUUUUAAAAUCAACUCAAAUGAUGAAAUUUGAAAAAGGAUAAUCAAUUGUUCAAGUCAUGUAAAGAAAUCGAGUCCCAAUACGUUAGGGUACAAUUCCUCAUAAUUCCCGAACUUUGAAUAUCACUUUAUUUUAUGCGAAAAUCUUCAUUUAGAGAAAGUAACAUGCCACACCCAAUACGUUAGGACACGGCAAGUUAAGUUCCCAAAAAUGAUUUUUAUACUCAUGCAUUUUGAAUAAAGAAUAUCCUCGGUUAUCUAGAAUUAGAAAAGAAAAUCGGAACCCAAUACGUUAGGGCUCAAUUUCCUCGAAAAUUCCCAACCUUGAAUAUUGUUUUUAUUCAAAAAAAAAAACUUUUAAGUCAAGAAAAUAAUUUUGAUGUACUGUCAAAACCAAAAUGUAUUUCCCAAAAGGUAAGUUAAAAGUUAGUGUAUAAUAUGAGACAAAAACUUUAACUUAAAGCAUAUAUGAAUAUAUAUUUACAAAAUAAAAAGAAUAAAAUGUAUAGGUAUAUGUACAUGGUAAAUUGUAAAAAUACGUAUAUGAAUAUUGAAACACUUAUAUAUAUGUAAAAAAUGUAUAUAAAUAAUAGAGUAUACAUAGAAUAAUAAAAAAAAUGUUUAUAAUAACUCGGCAAUAUCAAAAAAAUGUAUAUAUAUAGUGUAAAAAUGUGUAUUUUGAAUUAUAAAAUGUAAAUAUAUGUAUAGAUGUGUGUACAAAAGUCAUGAAAAUAAAAUAUAAAAUAUAAAUAAAAAAAUAAGUAUAAUACAUUAAUAAAUUAUGGGUAUUAUAUAUAUAUGUAUAUAUAAAAAAUAGGAAAAUAGAAUAAAGUAAAAAAUAUAUAUAUAUGUAUUUAAAACGUGUAAAGUAUGUAUACAUUGUACAUAUGCGUAAUAAGAGUAUAAUAAUAAUAAAUAAUAAUGUACAACCAUAGAAAUAAUAAUAAUAGUAAUAAAUAUAACAUAAUUAAUAAAAAAAAAAGUAAAACAACAAAUUAAGGAUUAAAUUGAAAAUAAACGAAUUUUUGAAGCUAAAUUUAAAGAUGAAAAAUAAAAAAAAAAACCAAAUUAAGACACGUGCAACAGUUGGAGGACCGUAAGGGUAAUUUACCCAAUUUCCCAAACGUUGCGCAGCAACAUGGACCAAAUUAAAACAGUAAUAAAACAUACAACCAAAUUUUAAAGAAAUAAAAGACCGAUUUAAACACCCCUCAUAAAAGAGAGGACCAAAUGAGGAAUUGGCCCAUUUUAAAAAAAAAGUGCGCGGAUCCUGGGACCGGGUCGGGUCACCGCGCGGGUCAUGGCCCCCCCAUACGGCGUCGUUUUGCAAGUGUUAUUUAAAAGGGAAAAAAACCUAAAAAAAACAUUUGCAGGUCCCCAAAAAAAACAAAGGAGGGCCGCCCCUUUUCCUCUGCUAGGGUUUCGGCCCUAGCCCCCUUUUGCGCCGCCGUUCAAGUGAUUCAAUCGGUUCGAAAUCCGGUGCCGAUCCCGAUCCCGACUCAGGUAAGUUUUCUUUUCGUUCUCCUUUUUAUUUUAAAUAGAAAAAUAAAUGGAAAAAUAAAAAAAACAGAAAAACUAAAAGCGAUUCACCUUCGAAAAAACUUUUUCAGUAUAUUUUCUCUCUAUAUCUUCUUUACACUCACUUCCCCCCCCCUUUUACACUGAUUUCCCCCUCGGUUUUUAUAACCGAAAAAUAAAGAAGAGGAAAAAAAAUCUCGCAAAACCCCCCUUAUUUUCUGUUCUUGUUGUAUUUGUGCGCCUCCUUUUUUGCAGGUUUGGUGGCGUAGAAAGCGUAUGCACGUGGAGGCGCAAAUCGCGCGGAGGGAGGCUUCUGGCCCCGAGUCGUGCGGCGGUUGGGGUUGCUUGGCUGCGGCGCUAGGGGUUGUGCUGAAGGUUCUAGGGUUUUUUAUAGUUGGGCUGGUUUGGUUAUUGUUUGGGUAAUUAGGCUUGAGUUUUAAUUUUGUUGGGCAUGUAUUGGUUUAGGCCCGGGCAAUUUGGGCUUGUACACUUACCAUAGCAUUUAUAUUACAUAAAACAAACAUAAUGUAAUAGCCCAUUUUUGCCUGGGCCCAACACACCCAAACUUAACAACCCCCAAAAUAAAAACCCAAACCCAAACAGCCCAAAUUACAAAAAAACCUAGCCCAAUAGGCCCACAACAUAAAUGUUUUUAGCAACAAAGGAGGCAGAAACCCUAGGGCGCGCCGCAUGUCAGCAAGGCUCCCUCGCACGCCUCCGUUGCAGCACGUCACCUCCACGCAUCGUACGCCUCUGUUACAUGCCAGAAAAAACAAGACAGAAAAUGACAACAAGCAGAAAAACAAAUUGCAAAACGACAAAAAAUAGAAAUUUAGGGGUUUUUCAAAUCGGCUAUAAAAGCCGAAUAUGAUCGCUGUAAUGCUUCUUCUUCCUUUUUGGAGUCUUUAUUAUUAUUAUUUUUGGUUCAAGAUAGUCAUAUUUCUUUUAAAAAAAUAUUCAAGACUCCAAUAUGGAAAUAAUUACCAAGUUUAGAAGUUAACUUGAACAAAAGAAAAGUCUAAGCUAUGAGAACGGUUUCCUAUUCUAAGCCCUAAUAUGACAACAAUUAUUAAGUUCAAAAAUUAACUUGAACAAAAGAAAAAUUCAAACCUCAAAGUGAGAAUCGUUGUCUAAUCUAAUCCUCAUUGUGGAAUAAGUGCCAAUUUCAAAAAUUAACUUAGAUAAAAAUAUUUAAACCCUAAUAUAAGAAUAAAUACAAAAUUUAUACCCCAAAUAGUGUUUCAAUUUGUUAUUUUCUUUUGUUUGCCUAACCCAUUUCUCAAUGCGAGCUGGGGGUGGCUUUUAAUUUUGAGGUUUACCAAGUAGAAAAAAAUACAUUAUUUUUCUAUUGAAAAGGAUCGUUGACAUUAAGAGAGGGUUAGAUUUUUGCAAGUGAGAAUUUAAUAAUGAGGAAAAACACAAGAUGAAAGAGAAAAAUUGGAGAGACCCUUUUAUGAGAGAAAAUUAGAGUUUGGGUCCAUGGAUUCAUAAUAUCUUAACACCUUGGAUUUCAUGGGUUUGGCUCCUUCGUCUGUUUUCUUUGGUAGAUUUUUCAUUGGUUUCAUAUUGUGCACUCAGCUUUUGAAGCUCUUUUCUCCCAGAUAUUUCAAUUAUUUGUACGGAUCCACAUAGACAAAUUUUGCUCAAGUUGAUGUAAUUGUGGAGAGCACCCGAAGUGUCAUCAUCCCAACUUCAUUUAGAUGCAGAAAAAGAGGUGGUAAUUACUUAAUUGCUUUACAUUUUUAAAUCAUAAUAAUCUCACAAUUUCAAAUGAUCUAAUAACUCCCAUGAAAUCCUCCUCUGUAUGCACAUUUGUUCUUUCUUUUCUUUUUUUCUUUGUUGAAGAGUCCCUCUGAUGACCUAAUCCUAAUUUUUGUUAGAUUUUGGCUCUCUUCUUCGGCGGAGCAUGGCAUAUAUUACAAGAAGCAGAGGUAAUAUAUGUUCAACUACGAUCUGUUCAUCUGCCAAAAUAUUCCAACAAAACAAAAAUGAUAAUAUAUGUCAUCAGUUUCCUUAUAAUUUCCAACUGAUCUGAUACAAAAUUAUAUAUAUGGAGUAUUUCAAGAGUUGUAAUAUAUAUGCCAACAGCUUAUAUGGUACCAAUGCUAUUGACAGAUUCUUUGGAGUCGUGUUGGAGAGAGCUUAAACACGCAAUGUCAUUUUCAAGUAAGUCAAUUGAAUAAGGGCUGAGGGUUGAUGAAAAUGGAGGGGGAAGAGGGGGAUAGUUCACAAUAUUCACUGGUGCAGGGCACCCAUUUUAGCUGUUUGAUUUUUUAAGGUUGCAUCAGGAGAGGAUCUUGCUUCAGAAUAUUCGGUGGUGAGGUUGAGGUUGAUUAAAUGUUUUCAUUAUUUAUAGACGAAUAACAACAUAUUAACACUAAUGGGGAUGUGAAUUUGUUACCAUUACAGAUGAUGGUGAUGUUAAUAAAACCUGAUUGUUAUCCUUGUUUCUAGGUAAGUAGUUACUGCACAUCAAGGACUUAGUAACUAAAAAUUAUGGGUUUAUUUAGUUUAUAUUUUUUCUCUACUUGUUAAGAGUUCUAUUGUGAGUCUUAUUACGUCAGUGCCUAGCUUUUUGUUUUUCUAUUAUGUAAAAGCCUAUAUAAAUAGGCUCUUGGAUUGUGAAUUAUUUUACUCAUCAUUUUAUUUUUCUCUUUCCUUUUUUAUUUUCAUCUUGUUGUUAUCUCUCUGAGUAAGUUAACAGUGGUGCCAAAGCUAGUCAAAAGAAGAGUAUUUUCGGUGAGAGGAAAAAGUUGGUGGUCCUCCUAUGGCUUCUGAAAAUUUUGUGCAGCCAGCUAUUCCACGUUUUGAUGGUCACUAUGAUCAUUGGAUCAUGUUGAUGGAGAACUUCUUACGGGCAUGUGUGAGGCCCUGUGGGCCACACGAGCUGGCCAAUUGGGCUGUGUGGACCCACUUUUUGAAAAAAUUCACCUAGGUCCGUUUCACUCUAAAAUUUGUAAUUAGACUUUUCGUAGGGCCAUACUACUUAAUUAAGGCUUGGAAACAAUGUAUUUGUUAAUAUGCUUCUAUGUAUGAUGUGUUUAAGGUAUGUGGAAUAUAUUUGCAUGAUCUGAUACUGAUAGUUCUCAUGGUAUGUCCUGAUUUGCUAUGUCUGUAUAUGUGUGUAUGAUUUGUGAUUAUGUUAAUUUGUAUUUCUAAAUCGGCCAUAAGACCAUGCAUGUGGCAUUGUGGCUUUUCUGUUAAGGUGAUUUGUAAUUAUGAUAUAUCUAUAUACAAAAUAUGAAAUCACAUGCUUACUGAUUUUUGUUAAGAAUAUGAAUGCAUGUUCAACAUGCUUAUCAUUCUAUUUCAGUUUAUGCAUGCCACGUCACAUUGCAUGGGGUUAGGAUAUUAUGGUAUGGAGAAAGUGUCAGCAGUUUAAUCAUCUGCAUUAUCUGGUGAUUUAUUCACAUUUCUAUUUACAUUUAUGGUGGCUCGACCACACACAUAUGUUGUUUUGACAACUUGGCUAUAAUAUAGUACCUUGUCUACAUAUAUUCGAUUUGAUAGUUUUAACUGCAAUCUCUGGGGGCAUUGACCAGAGUUAUUAUGUUGGUGUGAUUGGAUGGACGAGUUCUGGGGAACUCUAUUUGGUGUGUACCAGAGUUGGGUAGGAUGUUUUCUAUAUAUAAAAAAAACCAGCAUUACCUUUUUUUGGAAAAAUAUUGCAUUGGCAUAAGCACGCAUUCUGAGUUUUGCUCAAAUCAUCAUUAUGAAAUUCUCUAUGAUUCUGUGAAUUGUUGGUUGUGUUAUUUGAGUUCUAGGUUUGAGUUUGUUACACACUGAGCUUUAUAGCUCACUCCUUUGUUUAAUCUCUAACUUUUAAGGUAAUCUUUGAGUUUGGGAUCGGACGGCGUGCGGGAGCUCGGAUUGUUUUCUCGAUUAAAUAAAUAAGAUGGUUUACGUCUAUUUCUUUUCUGGACUUUUUGGACUAUAAAGUUACUUUUGGACUGGGUUUUUGGUUAUCGUUCUUUUUGUUGGAUUUGAUAUCUUUAACAUUAGACUACAUAAUCGUAGGAGUUAUCAAACUAAAAUUUUGUUUUCAAAACUAAGAAAUCUGAAAUUUCUGCUACAACGAUAAAGUAAUCACGUAUUUUUCUGUAAACAAAUAUCUGGUUUUUAACAAAUGUUUGCCUUAGUAUUGGAAAUGAUCUGCUAACGUUAGUACUUUCAAAACACGUAAUUUUGAAUUCAAAUUCUGGGUUUUAAAUAGGUGUUUUCAGACUUUGAUUUUGCUAAACAUCUAUGAGAGUUUUGCCAGUUUUUAUGUUUUCGAAAAAAUGAACUGAGUUUAAUUAAAACAAAAGUUUUUGAACAAGUUAACGUAAAUAUUGCUCAAUAUCUGGUCAUAACUUUUAUGCCGGGUUUGAGUUGUUACACAAUUACUCAUUCUUGCUAUAACCUUAUAACAUUAUUCUUUGACAUACGGGUGAAAUAAUUAUCUCAACUUGGUAAACAAAUUUGGUUUUCAUUUUACUUUUUGGUUUUAUUGGAAGCUGUUUCAAGCUGUUGUUCAAUCAAUGGUUGUAAUCCUUCUUUGAACGAGAGAAAAUUUGAAGCAGAUUGAAGUGUAGACUUGACUUAUUUUAAUUUAAGCAGGCAGUAUGAUAAUUUCUAGGUGUUUGGGGUUUUUCAUUUCUCUUGGGGCAUGGCUUUGAGGAUGAAAGAUGAUUUUUUAAAGAGAGGUUAUGCUUUACGAUUUGUUAUUAUUUUACCUUACAUGUGUUUCAUAUACUUUCUUAUUAUUUUUUAUGAUUUCUUAUUAUUUUUUAGUUGUCAUUUAUUUCGUUUAGCUGAGAUUUAAUUUAAGGUGUUUUUGAUAUAAGUAAGUUGUUCUAUUAAUUGUAAUAUCGUUACUUCAAUAAGGGUUUUGUAUGUAUGUAAACAAUCAAUUAAAACUAAAAAAUUUUCUAACGAAGUAGUCAUAUCCUAUUAAUUGUUUAACUUAGAUGUAUUACUUUAUUUUGAAAAAUUAACUGAAAACAUUUGAUCACCUAUAUACAUGUAAGUAUAUAUGUAUGUACACCUUGUAAAAACAUGAUUAUAUAUAAACGAUAACAUAACAGUAACAUCUAGAAUAUAUAAUUUAUCAACGGUUGUUAGCCUUCCAUAUAAACAUUUGAAUAGCCUUAUGUUACCAUAUAUAUAUAUAUAUAUAAUGAUGCUAAAUUUAUAAUAAUAAUAAAAUAUUCUCACCAAAACAACUCAUAAACACCAUUAGUUAGUAUUAACAAUAAUAAAGUUUAACUAAUGGAAAAAAGUUAUAAUAAUCAUGUCACUUUGUGUGCCAUGUGGUGAACCCAUGUGGUCAUGUCCGACAUACUAACCCAAAGAAAACAACAAAUUUCUUGAUAAAAAGUUUUAUCGAAUUCGACAACAAAAAUUAUAAAUAAAGACUCUCCCUUAAUUAAUUAAGUUUUUAAUAUAAAAUGAAUACUUUUAUAUGGUUCUACAUCUGUGUUUCAUCUUGUUCCAAUCAUUCUCAUUUUACUCCUCUUGCAAUAACCAAACACUUCUUUGCUUGAUUUCUGUUUGAACCUGCAAUGGCCGAAGCAAUUGCAUUCGACCUCGCCCUAGAGCUUAUUACUAAGUUGAGCUCCUUUACUCUCUCUCAAAUUGGACUGUGUUGGAAUGUCAAGGAUGACCUCGACGACCUCAAAAGCACCGUCUCUACAAUCAAAGCUGUGCUUCUUGACGCAGAAGAGCGAUCCGCGAC